UUUUUUUCCGCUUCUCUCUUCACUUCUUUGCCCCGAUCCAAAGAACCACACGCAAAAACUGAUCAGAAUGAACGAAUAAAGAAAUAAAGAAAAUAGGAUGGUGCCUUUUUUGCUCCUCUUCUGAUAUAACAAAAACAAACAAAAUAA
rnacentral:ribozyme from 1 species